AAAAGCGGUGAUAGCAAGUUGAAUGCAAACAGUGCCCAGUGGACAGAAUGGAUCACUGAAGUUAACCAACGUUGCCCGUGUUUAGUACCCGGAUGAGUAAACGUCUGAAGGAAUCGCGUGCUGGUUUUC
rnacentral:rRNA from 1 species